rnacentral:rRNA from 1 species
UUCUCUAUCUAAAGAGCAACUGUGUGUCCAAUCUCGUCUGAGCUUGGAAGCUAAACAGGGUUUGGCCUGGUUAGUACUUGGAUGGGAGACCACCUAGGAAUACCAAGUGCUGUAGGCA